CAAGCAGCAAGAUAAAGUCCCUGCCUACAUGAAGCUUACCUUGCAGUGGAGGAGGAAGACAAUAACAUCAUGUCAGAGGUGAUACAUGCUAGAAAAAUACUAAGUGGGCCAAGGGGAGAGUGUGAAGGUGGACACAGUGGUGGUGGCUAUUUUUGAAAGAGGCAUCAGGGUAGGGCUCCCCACUUCGAGUGAACUAAGCAAGCAAGGAACAUGGAUCUGCAGGGUUUGAGAGUUCCAGGAGGAAGGGACAGCCAGCCUGACAUGCAGAGUGAACGAAGGACAGCCAAGGACCAGGGUUAAAGACAAAGUGUUACUGUUCUCCUUUAAACAAGCUAGACUGGACCAGAUUGUCCACCCUGGACUAGCUGGCAUAACAGAUCCUCUUGGCUCUCUGAGGGCGCCUUCUCUCCAUCAGAGGUCGCACAGCACCACCUUGAUUCCAGGAUUCUUGGCACCACCUUGAUUCCAGGAUUAGCAAUCGCCAACUGCGUAAGCCCAACUGCACAUGCAAUCAUAUGACAUGUGAUCCCAUGGCAAAUGUAAUCACCGCUCAACCAAUCCCAGGUGCUGCUACUGCUACUUCAAACUGUAAUAGUGUCUACAAACAAUUUGCACUUUGGAAUGCCACAAUCCCAGGGGGUAAUUAACAAAUCCAGGGAACAAUCUUUUUAAAAGCCUUUAAAAGCAACAGAGACUGAGGCCACCUUCGAUGAAAUAGAAUCACUCCACUUUCUCUGUCAUUUCAGAAGAUACCUGGCUGACUCGUAGAGAGGUUUUGAGAGCACAGGCCCUGGGCUUUAUGGAAAGUUCCUCAAGAUGUGUUAAUUAGAAAUAAAAUGCAGCAUGGUUAUCGGCUGCAGAGCUUUCUGAAUGAAGCAGACUCUGAAGAGGGACUAAGAUUUCAAGAGUUAGAAGCAGAGUUCACAAAGGGCCACCCAAGGACUGUGAAUUCCAAACAUACCAUUCACUAUUCCAAGGUAGAAGACUGCGUUCACCAGCAUGCCUCCUUUCCGGAAGUGGUCGCUCAUGUGCUCUAACCAGUUGGCGUCCAAACCGCUCACUGUCUGGCCAUUCUUGGAGACAUGGAGAGGAAUGGUGACAGGGUAGUAUUGCCGGCACUUCUGAUGGCUCUUCGGUUUGUUGAAAAGGGUGAAGAUCUCCAUUUCUGUUGGGAUUUGUAAAGGGAGUGGAGAGAGAAGAGGUCAACUGAUGAUAAAAAUCUGUUUCAUCGGCUUAAGUGGAAUCUCUCAGGAGCCUGAAUAAAUGAUAUGAUGAAUGCUGAAAUCUCUGUGAGGCUGUAUUGUUGCCAGAUAAUAAAGCCUCAUUCCAAGUAAUAAGUUGAGGCUGGCUUAAAGUAACAUGGACCUGAAGGGUUGGGCUUCUGAUGGGGAACUUAGGUUUUUAAUC
rnacentral:lncRNA from 1 species